UACGGGGGGAGCAAGCGUUGUUCGGAUUUACUGGGCGUAAAGGGUGUGUAGGUGGCGCCGUAAGUCGGGUGUGAAAUUUCGGAGCUUAACUCCGAAACUGCAUUCGAUACUGCGGUGCUUGAGGACUGGAGAGGAGACUGGAAUUCAUGGUGUAGCAGUGAAAUGCGUAGAGAUCAUGAGGAAGACCAGUGGCGAAGGCGGGUCUCUGGACAGUUCCUGACACUGAGACACGAAGGCCAGGGGAGCAAACGGG
rnacentral:rRNA from 1 species